rnacentral:rRNA from 1 species
UGAGUUUGAAUUCUGGCUCAGAUUGAACGCUGGCGGCAGGCCUAACACAUGCAAGUCGAACGGUAGCACAGAGAGCUUGCUCUCGGGUGACGAGUGGCGGACGGGUGAGUAAUGUCUGGGAAACUGCCUGAUGGAGGGGGAUAACUACUGGAAACGGUAGCUAAUACCGCAUAACGUCGCAAGACCAAAGAGGGGGACCUUCGGGCCUCUUGCCAUCAGAUGUGCCCAGAUGGGAUUAGCUAGUAGGCGGGGUAACGGCCCACCUAGGCGACGAUCCCUAGCUGGUCUGAGAGGAUGACCAGCCACACUGGAACUGAGACACGGUCCAGACUCCUACGGGAGGCAGCAGUGGGGAAUAUUGCACAAUGGGCGCAAGCCUGAUGCAGCCAUGCCGCGUGUGUGAAGAAGGCCUUCGGGUUGUAAAGCACUUUCAGCGGGGAGGAAGGCGGUACGGUUAAUAACCGUGYGAUUGACGUUACCCGCAGAAGAAGCACCGGCUAACUCCGUGCCAGCAGCCGCGGUAAUACGGAGGGUGCAAGCGUUAAUCGGAAUUACUGGGCGUAAAGCGCACGCAGGCGGUCUGUCAAGUCGGAUGUGAAAUCCCCGGGCUCAACCUGGGAACUGCAUUCGAAACUGGCAGGCUGGAGUCUCGUAGAGGGAGGUAGAAUUCCAGGUGUAGCGGUGAAAUGCGUAGAGAUCUGGAGGAAUACCGGUGGCGAAGGCGGCCUCCUGGACGAAGACUGACGCUCAG